UGUUACGGCUGCAUAGUAUUCCAUGAUACGCCACACUUUAUCUAUUUGGAUUGCUUCAGUCUUUUGCUUUUAUAAACAGUGCAAAUAAGGGUUUCUGAUCAGACAUUUCUGGCUCAAGCUUUGUCCCUUCUGUUCUCUUAAAAUUCCACAGGCUUCUAGAUGGCUGGGGUGUGUACUAGACUUACAGAAGGGUAGAGAUAAGAACAGGCUUUAGAGCUGGCCUAAUCCAACCCACUGUUUUAAGAGAGGGGCAACCAAAGUUCCUGUAAAGUAACUUGCCCAGGUUUACAGAGUGGUUGGCCUGAGACCAGAGUCCAAGUUUACUGAUUCUCAGCCUGAAGUUGUACCUGCUAGAUCACACUACUGGGUGAUGAGUGUCAUGUGUGUAUGUGUGCAUAGUGCUCCUCCAGGAAUAUAAAACUGAAUACAGAGUCGAACAUGAGGUACAUGUCAUCUGAAGCCUUGGGCCCUCCGCAUCAUAAAUCAGGAACAAAUCCAGGAGGGAGAAAGAGCAAAGGAGACAAGGACCUCGUUAAGAACACUAAGUUUCUGUGUAAGUGUUGUAUUUGAUUUUUAUUAAUGGUGUUUCAUGUUCUGGACCAUUCCUUAAACAUUUAUACAUUUUCUCCCUGGUCCUCAGAAAACUGAAGUCUCUGUGGAACAUUCCAUGAAUGAUCAUCAGCAUUAUGUUCCACUAAAAUAACUGGUACCUAUUUAUAAACCACAGGAAAUUGUUCUUGCUCAGGAUACUGUCUGAAUAAGUAAUUUAAAAA
rnacentral:lncRNA from 12 species